GAUGAACGCUGGCGGCGUGCCUAAUACAUGCAAGUCGAGCGAACAGAUAAGGAGCUUGCUCCUUUGACGUUAGCGGCAGACGGGUGAGUAACACGUGGGUAACCUACCUAUAAGACUGGGAUAACUUCGGGAAACCGGAGCUAAUACCGGAUAACAUUUGGAACCGCAUGGUUCUAAAGUGAAAGAUGGUUUUGCUAUCACUUAUAGAUGGACCCGCGCCGUAUUAGCUAGUUGGUAAGGUAACGGCUUACCAAGGCAACGAUACGUAGCCGACCUGAGAGGGUGAUCGGCCACACUGGAACUGAGACACGGUCCAGACUCCUACGGGAGGCAGCAGUAGGGAAUCUUCCGCAAUGGGCGAAAGCCUGACGGAGCAACGCCGCGUGAGUGAUGAAGGGUUUCGGCUCGUAAAACUCUGUUAUUAGGGAAGAACAAACGUGUAAGUAACUGUGCACGUCUUGACGGUACCUAAUCAGAAAGCCACGGCUAACUACGUG
rnacentral:rRNA from 1 species